GACGAACGCUGGCGGCGUGCUUAACACAUGCAAGUCGAACGAAGUGGCGAACGGGUGCGUAAUACGUGGGUAACUGCCCUCCUCUUUGGGAUAAGCCUUGGAAACGGGGUCUAAUACCGAAUAAGGGGGGAUGGCUCGCGGUAUAUCAGCUUGUUGGUGGGGUAGUGGCCUACCAAGGCGACGACGGGUAGCCGGCCUGAGAGGGCGACCGGCCACAUUGGGCUGAGAUACGGCCCAAACUCCUACGGGAGGCAGCAGUGGGGAAUAUUGCACAAUGGGGGAAACCCUGAUGCAGCAACGCGCGUGCGGGAUGACGGCCUUCGGGUUGUAAACCGCUUUCAGCCAGGACGCGGUAGUGGCAGAAGAAGCACCGGCUAACUACGUGCCAGCAGCCGCGGUAAUAC
rnacentral:rRNA from 1 species